rnacentral:rRNA from 1 species
AGUGAACGCUGGCGGUAGGCCUAACACAUGCAAGUCGAACGGCAGCACAGUAAGAGCUUGCUCUUACGGGUGGCGAGUGGCGGACGGGUGUGGAAUACAUCGGAAUCUACUUUUUCGUGGGGGAUAACGUAGGGAAACUUACGCUAAUACCGCAUACGACCUACGGGUGAAAGCAGGGGAUCUUCGGACCUUGCGCGAUUGAAUGAGCCGAUGUCGGAUUAGCUAGUUGGCGGGGUAAAGGCCCACCAAGGCGACGAUCCGUAGCUGGUCUGAGAGGAUGAUCAGCCACACUGGAACUGAGACACGGUCCAGACUCCUACGGGAGGCAGCAGUGGGGAAUAUUGGACAAUGGGCGCAAGCCUGAUCCAGCCAUACCGCGUGGGUGAAGAAGGCCUUCGGGUUGUAAAGCCCUUUUGUUGGGAAAGAAAAGCAGCAGGUUAAUACCCCGCUGUUCUGACGGUACCAAAAGAAUAAGCACCGGCUAACUUCGUG